CACCGCGGUUAUACGAGAGACCCAAGUUGUUAGUUUUCGGCGUAAAGCGUGGUUAGAAUAAAUUUUUACUAAAGCCGAACACCUUCAAAGCUGUUAUACGCACCCGAAAGUAAGAAGACCAAUAACGAAAGUAGCUUUACCCUAUUUGAACCCACGAAAGCUAUGGUA
rnacentral:rRNA from 1 species